AUUGAACGCUGGCGGCAGGCCUAACACAUACAAGUCGAGCGGAUGAAGGGAGCUUGCUCCUGGAUUCAGCGGCGGACGGGUGAGUAAUGCCUAGGAAUCUGCCUGGUAGUGGGGGAUAACGUCCGGAAACGGGCGCUAAUACCGCAUACGUCCUGAGGGGGAAAGUGGGGGAUCUUCGGACCUCACGCUAUCAGAUGAGCCUAGGUCGGAUUAGCUAGUUGGUGGGGUAAAGGCCUACCAAGGCGACGAUCCGUAACUGGUCUGAGAGGAUGAUCAGUCACACUGGAACUGAGACACGGUCCAGACUCCUACGGGAGGCAGCAGUGGGGAAUAUUGGACAAUGGGCGAAAGCCUGAUCCAGCCAUGCCGCGUGUGUGAAGAAGGUCUUCGGAUUGUAAAGCACUUUAAGUUGGGAGGAAGGGCAGUAAGUUAAUACCUUGCUGUUUUGACGUUACCAACAGAAUAAGCACCGGCUAACUUCGUG
rnacentral:rRNA from 1 species